rnacentral:misc_RNA from 1 species
GCUGUUGAAGCUCCAUCUACAAUGGAUAAGACUUCCGUCUUAAUGUAUUAAGAAUCGUUGAAGGAGUCAUACCCAAUAUCUAUCUUGUUUUCGUAAGAUAUUGGGUAUAGCUCCCUUUAUCAUAAGGUUAUCCCCCGCCAAUGAAUGAUAAGUAUCUUUUUUUUUUAUUCAAAAUUAACGACAAGAUUUAUUAUCGUUUCUCGCAUGUCUCGCGAAAGUCAGAGUAGGCRAGAAUUCUCCCAAUUUGUGACCUACCAUACGAUCUGUUAUAUAAAUAGGUAAAUGUUCCUUUCCAUUAUGAAUAGCGAUUGUAUGGCCAAUCAUUUUGGGUAUAAUGGUAGAUGCCCGAGACCAAGUUACUAUUAUUUCUUUCUCCUCCCUCAUGUUGAGUUUUUCAAUUUUUCUCAAUAAAUGAUUAGCUACAAAAGGAUUUUUUUUUAGUGAACGUGCCACAGCUGAUUACUCCUUUUUUUACAUUUUAAAGAUUGGCAUUCUAUGUCCAAUAGAAUAUCUCGAUCUAAGUAUGAAGGUAAGAAUAAAUACCUAAUGAUGAAUGGAAAAAAGAAAAAAUCCUUUAGCUAGAUAAGGGGCGGAUGUAGCCAAGUGAUCAAGGCAGUGG